CUGGACGCAGCUUCAGGCAUCCACACCACCGCUGGGAUGCUCCUAUUUGUCAUCUCCCAUUCUAAUGUCGACCAUGUGAGCGCCGUAAAGUAACAAGACAGAAGGACAGAGACUUAUACGUUUGGAAACCAGAAAUCUUUGCUAACUUUUUCAUUUUUCAGCAUAGCUUCUUCCCCUGCCCUCUCUUUAACAAUAUCACAAACCAAAUACCCCUUAGCUGGUCUAGCAUGUUCUUGCCCCUUUUUGACCAAGCGAGGUUUGCCAAGUAAAGGAGACCAAG